UGAAGACAAAAGAAACUAUGGGCUGCUCUCUCUUUCCCUUUCUUUCUAUGUCACCAUUUUCACUUAAGUGGUUGGUCGAUACAAGGAAUUAACACUAAUGCUAUGUGCAAAUGGGAUAGGAAGAAAUGGCAGCAUGCAUUAUGCACACCUCUCCUCUGCUCAGACACUCCCUUGCACCAUAUUUGCUUGUCUAAUGAUGUACUUGCUUAGAAGUUCCAGGGGCUAAUCUUGAAAUAAACCAGGCAUAGAGAUCCAGUUGUGGAAGUCUCCCCCACCUAGAAAUUGCCUCAAGGUGGUUAAUCUUCAACCCAACCAUUGUCAAAAUGGCCCCAGUUCAUUCUACAGGUGGACAACAACUCAAGAUAGCCAUUGGAGCAAGAUAUGCCGACCUCCACCCUGCACCACUCCCACAUGCUUCCCAUACCAAGUUUCCCUUCCCAACCCCCUUCGCUUAGCCUGAAAAUUUGAGAUGGUUCUUUGAGACCUAAGUCCAGCCAUUCUUCUCAAUGGCUAGCCUUUGAAUAAAACUGCU
rnacentral:lncRNA from 1 species